rnacentral:rRNA from 1 species
UAUGGAGGGUGCAAGCGUUGCUCGGAAUUAUUGGGCGUAAAGGGUAGGUAGGUGGUCUUAUUUGUGUGGGGUGAAAGCCUUGGGCUUAACUCAAGAAGUGCCCCGCAAACGGUAAGACUGGAGUCUUGGAGAGGCUAGCGGAAUUCCCGGUGUAGCGGUGAAAUGCGUAGAGAUCGGGAGGAACACCAGAGGCGAAGGCGGCUAGCUGGACAAGCACUGACACUCAACUACGAAAGCGUGGGGAGCAAACAGGAUUAGAUACCCUGGUAGUCCACGCUGUAAACGAUGGGUACUAGGUUUGGUAGGUCUUGACCCCUGCCGAACCGGCGCUAACGCACUAAGUACCCCGCCUGGGAAGUACGGUCGCAAGACUAAA